rnacentral:rRNA from 1 species
AUUGAACGCUGGCGGCAGGCCUAACACAUGCAAGUCGAGCGGAUGAAGGGAGCUUGCUCCUGGAUUCAGCGGCGGACGGGUGAGUAAUGCCUAGGAAUCUGCCUGGUAGUGGGGGAUAACGUCCGGAAACGGGCGCUAAUACCGCAUACGUCCUGAGGGUGAAAGGGGGGGAUCUUCGGACCUCACGCUAUCAGAUGAGCCUAGGUCGGAUUAGCUAGUUGGUGGGGUAAAGGCCUACCAAGGCGACGAUCCGUAACUGGUCUGAGAGGAUGAUCAGUCACACUGGAACUGAGACACGGUCCAGACUCCUACGGGAGGCAGCAGUUGGGAAUAUUGGACAAUGGGCUAAAGCCUGAUCAAGCCAUGCCGCGUGUGUGAAGAAGGUCUUCGGAUCGUAAAGCACUUUAAGUUGGGAGGAAGGGCAGUAAGUUAAUACCUUGCUGUUUUGACGUUACCAACAGAAUAAGCACCGGCUAACUUCGUG